GACGAGGGAUCCUAGCGUCGUUCGGAAUCAUUGGGCGUAAAGCGGGUGCAGGUGGCUUUGUAAGUCAGGUGUGAAAUCCCAGGGCUCAACCCUGGAAGUGCAUUUGAUACUGCGAAGCUUGAGUGUGGGAGAGGUUACUAGAAUUCCUGGUGUAGUGGUGAAAUACGUAGAUAUCAGGAGGAAUACCGGAGGCGAAGGCGGGUAACUGGCCCAACACUGACACUGAAACCCGAAAGCGUGGGGAUCAAACAGG
rnacentral:rRNA from 1 species